UUGGAGGAAACCGCCUUCAAAUGAGCUGAAUACAGGUCCCUCUGCUAGUUUUGAUCUUGUAGGUCAGUGGUUCUGAGGCAUGAGUGCUAAAGGUCCUAUAGGUGGCACAUGGACUCCACCUUCCUGCAUCACGUGUUUCCGUUGUGAUCAUUCCUCCAGAUGAGUGCUCUUCCAUCACUGGGAAGCACCUGGCCUCAUGCAUUUCUGAUAGGCCUUGGUGAUGUCUUACCAGUCUUAGGCUUCCCAUGGAUUCUAAUGAGGAUUCCUCAAGGUAUGGGAAAGGGAUAGGUGGUCCACAGAAUAUUCUCCCCAAGCAAGCAAGCCAAAGACUGAGAAUUACAGAAAAACACUUUUCUUAGUAUUUUUAAAUUUUAAUCUUUUUCUUUCAUACAGCUUUAUUUGUUUCUUAUCUGAACUCUAAGGACUGAAUGAGACUGAGAGAGACAGCAAAGUCAGCUCUCUUACGUAGUAGGGGAAAAGCAUCAAAUUUAUCAUUUAAAGACCUGGAUACUGUUUAAAAAUUAUCUGAAAAUUGGAAAUGAAGAACUGCAUGUCUCUUCAAAGUUGUAUAUAGAGGAUUGUCUAACUGGGUCACUGAAGGAUGACUUGAUGUUUUAUUAGGAUGGGGGUUAACAAACUGUGUCGUAAUACAGUUGUAUGGGAACACAACCAUGCUCAUUCAUUCCUUACUGUGAAUAGUUGCUUUCAUACUACAGCAGCAAUGUUGAAGAGUUGUGACAAUGACCACAUGGCCUAUAAGGCCUGGAAUAUUUGCUGUCUGGCUCUACGCAGUUUAAGUUUGCUGACCCCUGUGCAAACUUCGUCAAAGGUAACUUUGACUUAGUGCGUACUCUUGAUUAGUACCCAAACUCUCUAAAGUUAGAUAUUAACUUAGAAAAAAUUGAUAAGUUUCAAAAAAAAAUUUCUCUUUGGUAGGGAAGGUAACUCCAAGAGUUAACGGUUUUCUUGCCUUGAAGGGCGUUAUCCAGUUUUGUAUCUAUCUCUGCAGUCUUAUUUCCCAUUGACAUUCUUUUUUCCAUUGACUGCAUGUGUCAGUUUCUCAU
rnacentral:lncRNA from 10 species